AAGUCGUAACAAGGUUUCUGUAGGGUAAGCUUGAAUGUCCUCUCCCUUUAUUAANNCUGGCUACCUUUCUUCAGGGGAACUGGCGAAAGGUCCUUUAUAAACCGGGGGCCGGCCUUCUUCGGGGGUUAAGGCCGCCGGGGAAGCCGGUUGGCUUAACACUCCUGGCCAUUUUACCCNAAGUGGUUUGGNGGGUCCGCCCCCGAACGGCCAGGGGUUCUGCCCCCGGGGGGGGGCCCCCCAAGGNCUCCAUUCAACCGGCACCACGNGGCCUGGCCUAACUUAAAACAAAAAUAAACAAAACUUUCAACAACGGAUCUCUUGGUUCUGGCAUCGAUGAAGAACGCAGCGAAAUGCGAUAAGUAAUGCGAAUUGCAGAAUUCCGUGAGUCAUCGAAUCUUUGAACGCACAUUGCGCCCCCUGGNAUUCCGGGGGGCAUGCCUGUCCGAGCGUCAUUAUCCAAUCUCAAGCCCGGCUUGAUGGUGGGUCUCACCGUCCCGGCGGUCGUCCCGAAAGACAGCAACGUGGCCCCGAACGCCGUGGAUGCAGCGAGCUUUCCAAGCACGCGUCCGGCGUCUGCGGGCGACGUCUCAANNNAAUCUUAGGGUUGNCNUCGGAUCAGACAGGAUUACCCGCUGAACUUAAGCAUAUCAAUAAGCGGAGGAAAAGAAACCAACAGGGAUUGCCUCAGUAACGGCGAGUGAAGCGGCAACAGCUCAAAUUUGAAAUCUGGUCCCCCCGCGGGGCCCGAGUUGUAAUUUGUAGAGGAUGCUUCGGGCAAGACUGCGGUCUAAUUCGCUUGGAACAGCGGGUCACAGAGGGUGAGAGUCCCGUCCGGGACCGCGCUGUCGCGCCCGUGUGAAGCUCCUUCGACGAGUCGAGUUGUUUGGGAAUGCAGCUCUAAAUGGGUGGUAAAUUUCAUCUAAAGCUAAAUAUUGGCCAGAGACCGAUAGCGCACAAGUAGAGUGAUCGAAAGAUGAAAAGCACUUUGAAAAGAGAGUUAAACAGUAUGUGAAAUUGUUGAAAGGGAAGCGCUGGCAAUCAGACCUGUGUGCCCGGUUCCCCCGGUCUUUGACCGGGUCAUUUCCGCGGCUCCAGGCCAGCAUCGGUUCAGGCGGCUGGUAAAAGACCCCGGGAACGUAUCUACCUUCGGGUCGACUUAUAGCCCGGGGUGUAAUGCAGCCCGCCCGGACCGAGGUACGCGCUCCGGCUCGGAUGCUGGCGUAAUGGUUGUCAGCGGCC
rnacentral:rRNA from 1 species